GGCUGGUACCUCUUGUUGCUUUCUCUAGUGUAUAACUUUUACCAAAAUUAGAAGCCCAAUUAAUUAUUUCCUUCUUUAGCCCAUCACUUUGGACCACACAUUUAAGUCCAAUUAACAACUAGCUGGCAUUCUCUGGUCCACGCCACCUACACAAGUCUAAAGUGGUGUCACACAGCUGGCUUAAUUUUCCAUGUCAUCAAUUCCAACUCCAGGAUGCUGCAGCACGAAGUUUAGCAAUUCUGCAUAUUUCAACUUUUCCCAACUUCUUCUUGUCAUCUUUUAAUUCCAUCUGGUUGCAUUGCUAGCUUGAAAUCAUUUUACACAGAAAAUAAAAGUAAAUUAAUUAUUUAAUUCCAAAAUAGUUAGAACAUUCAAUUCUAAAAUUAGACUUCACAAGACACAAAGAUGAAAUUAACUAAAAAUUCAACAACUAAAUACUCAAUUCAUCACUCAUUUCUUACAAAAUCAAAUUUAAUAGUAGAAUAAAUAACUCUAUAUCAUAGAGUUAUCACUAUCCUUUCCCAAGAUUUAAUGUAAAACCUGAGUUUUUGAAUUAACUACUAUUCAUAUAUUAUUUGUUCUUUUUUUUUUUUUUUGGUAAAAUACUAAUUUGGCCCUUGUGUUUUGCCCGAAUACUCGAUCGACCCCUAUGUUUUAUUAAAUGAUAAAACAGAUCUUAUGUUUUACAAAACAGAUCAAUUGAAUACUCUAUGCUCAAUUUGAUCAAAUUAUUUUUAAAUAUGACCAAAAUACUCUCAAAUUUUUUAAUUAAUAAAUUUAUUAAAUUUUAAAAUAUAAAAUAAGAAAAUGAAAAAAACAUUUAUUUAAUUUCCUUUUUCUCUUUCUCUCUCCUCUCUCUUCUCUUCCCUCUCCCGAUCUUCCUCACCCUUACCCAAAAAAAAUUGCAUCUCUCUAUCUCUCUCAUUUUCACCUCCACUCAUUCUCUCUCUUUUCUUCUCAAAUCUGGGGGUUGAACGAGGUUGGAAAGGCAGUGGCUUGUCAACAGCUUGGCCGUCGAGAGGACAGAGGAAGCUCGGCAACAACUUUCUUCGUCCCUCAUACUGUCGAGAUCUGCGUUCGUGGAUCUGCGUCCCUCACACCGUCGAGCAAAGAGUUCCAACCCGAAGCCCAUGAGCCCAUUUCAAAGACAACCUCUGCCCAUUACCUUUUCAGAUCUUGUUCAUAAAUUUGCAAAAGAAUUUCGUAAGUUGACCUAUUCUCACACUUCAAUUUUUUUUGGGUUUUUCAGAUCUUGACGCCCACGACUUCAUUAACUUGGAUUUAUCCUAAAAAGGAUGUAUUGGGGUGAUCGGGAACCGAUUUCUGAGUACUGGGACAAGGGUUUUGUGAGAACCAAUGGCGAUUCCAUAGUUUCGUUAAUGAGGAUGGGAACUUACGCAAGGAGUAGAUUUAGUGGUUAAGUGAUAGGAGUGACUGCGAGUGCGGGAAACACUACUACAAAGGCUAUGGUAGCUUUGGCUCUUGGAGGUUGUGGGAAGAAGGUUUAUGAGAGCUUUCGAAAUCGGAAUAAUGAAAUUGGAGUUGCUCUGUCACUAAUUGGGGGCCGAAGUUGUCAUUGCUGGGUUGUUGCUAUGACAAUGGCUUGAAGUUGUAUUGUUGCUGAAAUCUGGGUUUGAAUGAUGAACUCAAGAGCAAGCUUUGAUUAAUAUUUAACAACGAAGCAAGGAGAUGAGGGCUCACGGUCAAGAACAAAAGAAGAAGAAGAAGAAAGAGGGAAAAUUAAAAGUUUUAAUUUUAAUUUUUCAUUUUUGUUUGUAUUUCUAUACAUAAAUUAAUUUUGAACUUUUGAUGUUAAUGUUGGGUAAGAUCAUGGCAGAAAAUUAAUUUUGGAGUUUUGAUGUUAA